CAAUAAGUGUUCAAUGGCACUUUUAAAAUCCAUUACCCACCUUGUGUGCAAUGUAAGGAGGAGGGGGUUUUGUCAGACUUUUUUGGUCUGGUUUCCCCUCUUUCAUUAUACAUACCAAAUCUUCUCUUGUUGUCUACUUUUUGAGUAUAAAAAAACUCGAAUA
rnacentral:misc_RNA from 1 species